CCUACGGGUGGCUGCAGUGGGGAAUAUUGCACAAUGGGCGCAAGCCUGAUGCAGCCAUGCCGCGUGUGUGAAGAAGGCCUUCGGGUUGUAAAGCACUUUCAGCGGGGAGGAAGGCGUUAAGGUUAAUAACCUUGUCGAUUGACGUUACCCGCAGAAGAAGCACCGGCUAACUCCGUGCCAGCAGCCGCGGUAAUACGGAGGGUGCAAGCGUUAAUCGGAAUUACUGGGCGUAAAGCGCACGCAGGCGGUCUGUCAAGUCGGAUGUGAAAUCCCCGGCUCAACCUGGGAACUGCAUUCGAAACUGGCAGGCUAGAGUCUUGUAGAGGGGGGUAGAAUUCCAGGUGUAGCGGUGAAAUGCGUAGAGAUCUGGAGGAAUACCGGUGGCGAAGGCGGCCCCCUGGACAAAGACUGACGCUCAGGUGCGAAAGCGUGGGGAGCAAACAGGAUUAGAUACCCCUGUAGUC
rnacentral:rRNA from 1 species